rnacentral:rRNA from 1 species
UUCCGGUUGAUCCUGCCGGACCUGACUGCUAUCGGAUUGAUACUAAGCCAUGCGAGUCUUUGUAGCAAUACAAGGCAGACGGCUCAGUAACACGUAGUCAAUCUAACCUAUGGACGAGGAUAACCUCGGGAAACUGAGAAUAAUACUCGAUAGACCAUAAUGCCUGGAACGGUUUAUGGUUCAAAUGAAUUUCGCCAUAGGGUGGGACUGCGGUCUAUCAGCUUGUUGGUGAGGUAAUGGCCCACCAAGGCUAUAACAGAUACGGGCUCUGAGAGGAGAAGCCCGGAGAUGGGUACUGAGACACGGACCCAGGCCCUAUGGGGCGCAGCAGGCGAGAAAACUUUGCAAUGUGCGAAAGCACGACAAGGUUAAUCCGAGUGGUUCCUGCUAAAGGAACCUUUUGUUAGUCAUAAUAUCACUAUUGAAUAAGGGGUGGGCAAGUUCUGGUGUCAGCCGCCGCGGUAAAACCAGCACCUCAAGUGGUCAGGAGGAUUAUUGGGCCUAAAGCAUCCGUAGCCGGCUCUGUUAGUUCUCGGUUAAAUCUAUACGCUCAACGUAUGGGCUGCCGGGAAUACUGCAAAGCUAGGAAGUGGGAGAGGUAGACGGUACUCCGUAGGAAGGGGUAAAAUCCUUUGAUCUAUGGAUGACCACCUGUGGCGAAGGCGGUCUACCAGAACACGUUCGACGGUGAGGGAUGAAAGCUGGGGGAGCAAACCGGAUUAGAUACCCGGGUAGUCCCAGCUGUAAACUAUGCAAACU